rnacentral:rRNA from 1 species
GGUUAAGCGACUAAGCGUACACGGUGGAUGCCCUGGCAGUCAGAGGCGAUGAAGGACGUGCUAAUCUGCGAAAAGCGUCGGUAAGGUGAUAUGAACCGUUAUAGCCGGCGAUGUCCGAAUGGGGAAACCCAGUGCAAUUCGUUGCACUAUCGUUAACUGAAUACAUAGGUUAACGAGGCGAACCGGGGGAACUGAAACAUCUAAGUACCCCGAGGAAAAGAAAUCAACCGAGAUUCCCCCAGUAGCGGCGAGCGAACGGGGAGCAGCCCAGAGUCUGAAUCAGCUUGUGUGUUAGUGGAACGGUCUGGAAAGUCCGACGGUACAGGGUGAUAGUCCCGUACACCAAAAUGCACAGGCUGUGAACUCGAAGAGUAGGGCGGGACACGUGGUAUCCUGUCUGAAUAUGGGGGGACCAUCCUCCAAGGCUAAAUACUCCUGACUGACCGAUAGUGAACCAGUACCGUGAGGGAAAGGCGAAAAGAACCCCGGCGAGGGGAGUGAAAAAGAACCUGAAACCGUGUACGUACAAGCAGUGGGAGCACCUUCGGGUGUGACUGCGUACCUUUUGUAUAAUGGGUCAGCGACUUAUAUUCUGUAGCAAGGUUAACCGUAUAGGGGAGCCGCAGGGAAACCGAGUCUUAACUGGGCGUUAAGUUGCAGGGUAUAGACCCGAAACCCGGUGAUCUAGCCAUGGGCAGGUUGAAGGUUGGGUAACACUAACUGGAGGACCGAACCGACUAAUGUUGAAAAAUUAGCGGAUGACUUGUGGCUGGGGGUGAAAGGCCAAUCAAACCGGGAGAUAGCUGGUUCUCCCCGAAAGCUAUUUAGGUAGCGCCUCGUGAACUCAUCUUCGGGGGUAGAGCACUGUUUCGGCUAGGGGGUCAUCCCGACUUACCAACCCGAUGCAAACUACGAAUACCGAAGAAUGUUAUCACGGGAGACACACGGCGGGUGCUAACGUCCGUCGUGAAGAGGGAAACAACCCAGACCGCCAGCUAAGGUCCCAAAGUCAUGGUUAAGUGGGAAACGAUGUGGGAAGGCACAGACAGCCAGGAUGUUGGCUUAGAAGCAGCCAUCAUUUAAAGAAAGCGUAAUAGCUCACUGGUCGAGUCGGCCUGCGCGGAAGAUGUAACGGGGCUAAACCAUGCACCGAAGCUGCGGCAGCGACACUAUGUGUUGUUGGGUAGGGGAGCGUUCUGUAAGCCUGCGAAGGUGACCUGUGAGGGUUGCUGGAGGUAUCAGAAGUGCGAAUGCUGACAUAAGUAACGAUAAAGCGGGUGAAAAGCCCGCUCGCCGGAAGACCAAGGGUUCCUGUCCAACGUUAAUCGGGGCAGGGUGAGUCGACCCCUAAGGCGAGGCCGAAAGGCGUAGUCGAUGGGAAACAGGUUAAUAUUCCUGUACUUGGUGUUACUGCGAAGGGGGGACGGAGAAGGCUAUGUUAGCCGGGCGACGGUUGUCCCGGUUUAAGCAUGUAGGCUGAUUGUCCAGGCAAAUCCGGAUAAUCAAGGCUGAGGUGUGAUGACGAGGCACUACGGUGCUGAAGUAACAAAUGCCCUGCUUCCAGGAAAAGCCUCUAAGCAUCAGGUAACAUCAAAUCGUACCCCAAACCGACACAGGUGGUCAGGUAGAGAAUACCAAGGCGCUUGAGAGAACUCGGGUGAAGGAACUAGGCAAAAUGGUGCCGUAACUUCGGGAGAAGGCACGCUGGUGUGUAGGUGAAGCCCCUGCGGGUGGAGCUGAGACCAGUCGAAGAUACCAGCUGGCUGCAACUGUUUAUUAAAAACACAGCACUGUGCAAACACGAAAGUGGACGUAUACGGUGUGACGCCUGCCCGGUGCCGGAAGGUUAAUUGAUGGGGUUAUCCGUAAGGAGAAGCUCUUGAUCGAAGCCCCGGUAAACGGCGGCCGUAACUAUAACGGUCCUAAGGUAGCGAAAUUCCUUGUCGGGUAAGUUCCGACCUGCACGAAUGGCGUAAUGAUGGCCAGGCUGUCUCCACCCGAGACUCAGUGAAAUUGAACUCGCUGUGAAGAUGCAGUGUACCCGCGGCAAGACGGAAAGACCCCGUGAACCUUUACUAUAGCUUGACACUGAACAUUGAGCCUUGAUGUGUAGGAUAGGUGGGAGGCUUUGAAGCGUGGACGCCAGUCUGCGUGGAGCCAACCUUGAAAUACCACCCUUUAAUGUUUGAUGUUCUAACGUUGGCCCCUUACCGGGGUUGCGGACAGUGUCUGGUGGGUAGUUUGACUGGGGCGGUCUCCUCCCAAAGCGUAACGGAGGAGCACGAAGGUUAGCUAAUCCUGGUCGGACAUCAGGAGGUUAGUGCAAUGGCAUAAGCUAGCUUGACUGCGAGCGUGACGGCGCGAGCAGGUGCGAAAGCAGGUCAUAGUGAUCCGGUGGUUCUGAAUGGAAGGGCCAUCGCUCAACGGAUAAAAGGUACUCCGGGGAUAACAGGCUGAUACCGCCCAAGAGUUCAUAUCGACGGCGGUGUUUGGCACCUCGAUGUCGGCUCAUCACAUCCUGGGGCUGAAGUAGGUCCCAAGGGUAUGGCUGUUCGCCAUUUAAAGUGGUACGCGAGCUGGGUUUAGAACGUCGUGAGACAGUUCGGUCCCUAUCUGCCGUGGGCGCUGGAGAAUUGAGGGGGGCUGCUCCUAGUACGAGAGGACCGGAGUGGACGCAUCACUGGUGUUCGGGUUGUCAUGCCAAUGGCACUGCCCGGUAGCUAAAUGCGGAAGAGAUAAGUGCUGAAAGCAUCUAAGCACGAAACUUGCCCCGAGAUGAGUUCUCCCUGAGACUUUAAGUCUCCUGAAGGAACGUUGAAGACGACGACGUUGAUAGGCCGGGUGUGUAAGCGCAGCGAUGCGUUGAGCUAACCGGUACUAAUGAACCGUGAGGCUUAACCUU